rnacentral:tRNA from 1 species
CGGAUAUGGCGAAAUUGGUAGACGCGCCAGACUUAGGAUCUGGUGGGCGACCGUGGGGGUUCGAGUCCCUUUAUCCGC